CAUGAUGUCAUCGACAUAGACCUUCAUCAUUACCCCAAUUUUCUUCUUGAACAUCAUGUUUACUAACCUUUGGUAAGUGGCUUCCGCGUUCUUAAGGCCAAAGGGCAUGACCUUGUUGUUGGAAGUAUGCCCACAAAGCCACUCAUUUGAUGUAAUAGCUUUUGGAAUACUUAUUGUAUUAAACUUUUAUAUGUUUAAUGAAGGGCAAAGCUUAUUGUUAAUCACAAUUUAUUAUAUCAUGUGUUUAAGCAAUAAGGGAAUCCGAGGAAUGUAUUUGAUCUAAGAGAUAAGUGAUUUAAGUAAGUUAGAUUAUCGAGACCUUUCUCUUAUGUUCA
rnacentral:lncRNA from 1 species